CAGCAGCCGCGGUAAUACGAAGGGGGCUAGCGUUGUUCGGAUUUACUGGGCGUAAAGGGCGCGUAGGCGGACUGAUUAGUCAGGGGUGAAAUCCCAAGGCUCAACCUUGGAACUGCCUUUGAUACUGUUUGUCUUGAGUUCGAGAGAGGUAAGUGGAACUGCGAGUGUAGAGGUGAAAUUCGUAGAUAUUCGCAAGAACACCAGUGGCGAAGGCGGCUUACUGGCUCGAAACUGACGCUGAGGCGCGAAAGCGUGGGGAGCAAACAGGAUUAGAUACCCCCGUAGUCCCUGUCUCUUAUAC
rnacentral:rRNA from 1 species